rnacentral:miRNA from 3 species
UGCUGGAAAGCAGAGGAAGACU